rnacentral:rRNA from 1 species
GACGAACGCUGGCGGCGUGCUUAACACAUGCAAGUCGAACGGAAAGGCCCUGCUUUUGUGGGGUGCUCGAGUGGCGAACGGGUGAGUAACACGUGAGUAACCUGCCCUUGACUUUGGGAUAACUUCAGGAAACUGGGGCUAAUACCGGAUAGGAGCUCCUGCUGCAUGGUGGGGGUUGGAAAGUUUCGGCGGUUGGGGAUGGACUCGCGGCUUAUCAGCUUGUUGGUGGGGUAGUGGCUUACCAAGGCUUUGACGGGUAGCCGGCCUGAGAGGGUGACCGGCGACAUUGGGACUGAGAUACGGCCCAGACUCCUACGGGAGGCAGCAGUGGGGAAUCUUGCACAAUGGGCGGAAGCCUGAUGCAGCAACGCCGCGUGCGGGAUGACGGCCUUCGGGUUGUAAACCGCUUUCGCCUGUGACGAAGCGUGAGUGACGGUAAUGGGUAAAGAAGCACCGGCUAACUACGUG